UACGUAGGGUGCGAGCGUUAAUCGGAAUUACUGGGCGUAAAGCGUGCGCAGGCGGUUCGUUAGUUCGGUGUGAAAGCCCCGGGCUUACCACUGGGAACUGCAAUGGAUACUGUCGGGCUAGAGUGCGGAAGAGGCGAGUGGAAUUCCUGGUGUAGCGGUGAAAUGCGCAGAUAUCAGGAAGAACACCAAUGGCGAAGGCAGCUCUCUGGGACGGUACUGACGCUGAGACGCGAAAGCGUGGGGAGCGAACAGG
rnacentral:rRNA from 1 species